rnacentral:lncRNA from 1 species
GACACAAGUGGCACAGGCUCCAGAACAAGGAGGAGACUGAAGAGGAAGGAGCCUGUUGGUCUUCCUUCUCCUCCUUCUAACAUCUCCUACCACCUGCCACCUACCUGCUCCUCCCCAGAGCAAUAGCACAAGAGGCUCUAGUUCCUGGCAGUUCUGUACUUUUGGACACAUCAGCAGCAAUGGCAACGCUCACUCUGGGCCAGAUGCUGGAGGCUGCCCUGGGGUCAUCGAGAGAUGGACUCGUUGACUUUGAGCAGCUGCACAACCUCCUGAACGCGAUGCUUUUGCACCUGGGCCUGCGGGAUCUGCUUGUCCAGGAGAAUGGGGAACCACUGGAGGGGGCCGAGGAAAGCCCUUUCUCUUUCCUUAAGGAGUUAAAGCAGAAAGUGGAAGCCAAUGAAAAAGAAAUCGCUGAGGUGCGGGCUCUUUGCCAGGAGCUGCGUGAGGAGGUCAAUGUGGUGAAGGAGGAGCAGUCCCACAUGGCAGAGGACAUGCAGUAUAUGCUGCAGAAUUUGGACAUGGAAGGAUUCCAGAACAUGCUGAAGGAGCUCUGUAACCAGAUGAUGGAGUCUCUCAUGUCUGCCAUGAAGGAGAUGAUGCAGGGCGGCCAAGGCUCAGACAAGCAGAAGCACGCUGGCUCCAGGCAUCUGGCCCCAGACUCGACUGAUGACCCAGAGCUGAUUGUCAUCGGCAACGAAAUUACCCUGGUGGAAAAGCCCAGGACACCCAGGCACGGGGACGGGCGGGCUGCCAGCCCUCUGCCCCCCGACGCCAGGACACCGGGCAGAGGGAAGGAGGAGAAUGCCAGCAGCGACCUGCUCCCCGCUGGGGAAGAUGCCACGGGACAGAACGUGGAACAGAGUGACAGGGGACGGAGUGGCACGGCACGGAGGGGCUUGGGGUGGAGUAUGGGGCAGAAUUACAUGGGACGGAGUGUGGGACAGAGGGACAUGAGACGAAACGUGCAAUGGAGCGACGCAGGACAGGAGGACAUGGGACAGGAGGACAUGGGACAGAUCAAGGAUGAAGAGAUCGAGGUACACAUCUCUACGGUAGAGGAUCUUCCCAGCCCCUCUCAGGGCGGUCCCUCUGAGAUGACCAGCAUGGAAGAGAUCAAGGAAGAAGACACCAAGAUGAGCAUCUCCGAGGCUCCUCCCCACAGUCAGAAAAAGAGUUUGGAUGGCAGUUUCACCACCUCAGGAACGCAUCCAAGAGCGCCUGGCACCCACCUCCCAGUGCAGCGGGUGCAGUCAGUACGAGGCCACCCAGGAUCCCAGAACCUCUGGGUCCCAGCCGAGAGCAUGGCUGGGACAAGCAGGGGCAGUAGGCUAACAGCAUCCAAGGAGGCACGUGGAAGAGGCAUCAGGAUGGAGGCAUUCCCAGCUGAAGCUGGAAUGAUGCUCCUAAAGGUGCCCUCUUCCGAGUACACACCUUGUGACCAGCUUGUGCAGUUGCCUGGCCGACACUCUGAGGCCAUCUCGGCCACGCCACCGCCAUCCCCCGGCUUCUCCAUGCGCCUGCCCCGCGCUCGCAGGCAGCACCGAGUCCAGGAGCACAGGGAGCAGCCCGUGGAGGGGUACUCCCGCAGACCACCGCUGUACUCCGGGGGCAAACACACCAGCGUCAGCCCCGUGAAGCCCAUGAAACCACUCCUUCCAAACCCCAACGAGCCCGGCACGUUCGAACUGAUGGGCAGGGAUGGAGUCGUGUACCGGGGCCGGACUCCCCCGGGGAUGGACUGAGCAAGUGGCUCCAGCCUGCAGAAAUAAAGGGUGACC